GCGCCAGUAGUCUAACGGCUAGGAUAGGGCCUUCCCAAGGCUCUGAUCCGGGUUCGAAUCCCGGCUGGCGCA
rnacentral:tRNA from 1 species